rnacentral:rRNA from 1 species
GUCCAGACUCCUACGGGAGGCAGCAGUGGGGAAUAUUGCACAAUGGGGGAAACCCUGAUGCAGCAACGCCGCGUGAGUGAAGAAGUAUUUCGGUAUGUAAAGCUCUAUCAGCAGGGAAGAAGAUGACGGUACCUGAGUAAGAAGCCCCGGCUAACUACGUGCCAGCAGCCGCGGUAAUACGUAGGGGGCAAGCGUUAUCCGGAUUUACUGGGUGUAAAGGGAGCGUAGACGGUGAGACAAGUCUGAAGUGAAAGCCCGGGGCUCAACCCCGGGACUGCUUUGGAAACUGCCUGACUGGAGUGCUGGAGAGGCAAGCGGAAUUCCUAGUGUAGCGGUGAAAUGCGUAGAUAUUAGGAGGAACACCAGUGGCGAAGGCGUCUUACUGGACCGAAACUGACGUUGAGGCUCGAAAGCGUGGGGAGCAAACAGGAUUAGAUACCCCCGUA